CAGCAGCCACGGUAAAACGAAGGGGGCUAGCGUUGUUCGGAUUUACUGGGCGUAAAGGGCGCGUAGGCGGACUGAUAAGUCAGGGGUGAAAUCCCAAGGCUCAACCUUGGAACUGCCUUUGAUACUGUUUGUCUUGAGUUCGAGAGAGGUAAGUGGAACUGCGAGUGUAGAGGUGAAAUUCGUAGAUAUUCGCAAGAACACCAGUGGCGAAGGCGGCUCACUGGCCCGAUACUGAUGCUGAGGCACGAAAGCGUGGGGAGCAAACAGGAUUAGAUACCCCCGUAGUCCCUGUCUCUUAUAU
rnacentral:rRNA from 1 species